rnacentral:tRNA from 1 species
CGCGGGGUAGAGCAGUGGUAGCUCGUCGGGCUCAUAACCCGGAGGUCGCAGGUUCAAAUCCUGCCCCCGCAACCA